CCCUUAGAUAUCCUGGGCCGCACGCGCGUUACACUGAUGCAUUCAACGAGCUUAUAACCUUGGCCGAGAGGCCUGGGCAAUCUUGUUAACGUGCAUCGUGAUGGGGAUAGAUUAUUGAAAUUAUUAAUCUUGAACGAGGAAUUCCUAGUAAACGCAGAUCAUCAAUCUGCAUUGAUUACGUCCCUGCCCUUUGUACACACCGCCCGUCGCACCUACCGAUUGGAUGGUCCGGUGAAGCCUCGGGAUUGUGGUUCUUGCCGCUUUAUUGUGGCGUGACCGCGAGAACUUGUCUAAACCUUAUCAUCUAGAGGAAGGUGAAGUCGUAACA
rnacentral:rRNA from 1 species